rnacentral:rRNA from 1 species
UACGGAGGGUGCAAGCGUUAUCCGGAUUCACUGGGUUUAAAGGGUGCGUAGGCGGGUAAGUAAGUCCGUGGUGAAAUCUCUGAGCUUAACUCAGAAACUGCCGUGGAUACUAUUUGCCUUGAAUAUUGUGGAGGUGAGCGGAAUAUGUCAUGUAGCGGUGAAAUGCUUAGAUAUGACACAGAACACCGAUUGCGAAGGCAGCUCACUAAAUUGUAACUGACGCUGAGGCACGAAAAGCGUGGGGGAUCAAACAGG